rnacentral:rRNA from 2 species
AUAACGACUCUCGGCAACGGAUAUCUCGGCUCACGCAUCGAUGAAGAACGUAGCAAAAUGCGAUACUUGGUGUGAAUUGCAGAAUCCCGUGAACCAUCGAGUUUUUGAACGCAAGUUGCGCCCGAAGCCAUUCGGUUGAGGGCACAUCUGCCUGGGCGUCACG